rnacentral:rRNA from 1 species
AACGAACGCUAGCGGCGUGCUUAACACAUGCAAGUCGAACGGAAAGGCCCUGCUUUUGUGGGGUGCUCGAGUGGCGAACGGGUGAGUAACACGUGAGUAACCUGCCCUUGACUUUGGGAUAACUUCAGGAAACUGGGGCUAAUACCGGAUAGGAGCUCCUGCUGCAUGGUGGGGGUUGGAAAGUUUCGGCGGCUGGGGAUGGACUCGCGGCUUAUCAGCUUGUUGGUGGGGUAGUGGCUUACCAAGGCUUUGACGGGUAGCCGGCCUGAGAGGGUGACCGGCCACAUUGGGACUGAGAUACGGCCCAGACUCCUACGGGAGGCAGCAGUGGGGAAUAUUGCACAAUGGGCGGAAGCCUGAUGCAGCAACGCCGCGUGCGGGAUGACGGCCUUCGGGUUGUAAACCGCUUUCGCCUGUGACGAAGCGUGAGUGACGGUAAUGGGUAAAGAAGCACCGGCUAACUACGUG